ACGGAAGGCAGCAGUGAGGAAUAUUGGUCAAUGGACGGAAGUCUGAACCAGCCAAGUCGCGUGAAGGAUGAAGGUUCUAUGGAUUGUAAACUUCUUUUGCCCGAGGGUAAAGUGAGGGACGUGUCCCUUAUUGCAAGUAUCGGGUGAAUAAGCAUCGGCUAACUCCGUGCCAGCAGCCGCGGUAAUACGGAGGAUGCGAGCGUUAUCCGGAUUUAUUGGGUUUAAAGGGAGCGUAGGCGGGCUUUUAAGUCAGUGGUAAAAGCGUGUGGCUCAACCAUACCACGCCAUUGAAACUGGAAGCCUUGAGUGCACACAGGGAUGCUGGAAUUCGUCGUGUAGCGGUGAAAUGCUUAGAUAUGACGAAGAACUCCGAUCGCGAAGGCAGGUGUCCGGGGUGUAACUGACGCUGAGGCUCGAAAGUGCGGGUAUCAAACAGGAUUAGAUACCCUGGUA
rnacentral:rRNA from 1 species